rnacentral:rRNA from 1 species
UACGUAGGGGGCAAGCGUUAUCCGGAUUUACUGGGUGUAAAGGGAGCGUAGACGGCGCAUCAAGUCUGAUGUGAAAGGCUGGGGCCCAACCCCGGGACUGCAUUGGAAACUGGUGUGCUCGAGUGCCGGAGGGGCAGGCGGAAUUCCUGGUGUAGCGGUGAAAUGCGUAGAUAUCAGGAGGAACACCGGUGGCGAAGGCGGCCUGCUGGACGUGCACUGACGUUAAGGCUCGAAAGCGUGGGGAG